rnacentral:rRNA from 1 species
CGGCCUAACACAUGCAAGUCGAGCGGAAACGAGUUAACUGAACCUUCGGGGAACGUUAACGGCGUCGAGCGGCGGACGGGUGAGUAAUGCCUGGGAAAUUGCCCUGAUGUGGGGGAUAACCAUUGGAAACGAUGGCUAAUACCGCAUAAUAGCCCGGUUCUUCGGAAUGGGUCUCAAAGAGGGGGACCUUUUAGGCCUCUCGCGUCAGGAUAUGCCCAGGUGGGAUUAGCUAGUUGGUGAGGUAAUGGCUCACCAAGGCGACGAUCCCUAGCUGGUCUGAGAGGAUGAUCAGCCACACUGGAACUGAGACACGGUCCAGACUCCUACGGGAGGCAGCAGUGGGGAAUAUUGCACAAUGGGCGCAAGCCUGAUGCAGCCAUGCCGCGUGUAUGAAGAAGGCCUUCGGGUUGUAAAGUACUUUCAGCAGUGAGGAAGGUGGGUAUGUUAAUAGCAUACACAUUUGACGUUAGCUGCAGAAGAAGCACCGGCUAACUCCGUGCCAGCAGCCGCGGUAAUACGGAGGGUGCGAGCGUUAAUCGGAAUUACUGGGCGUAAAGCGCAUGCAGGUGGUUUGUUAAGUCAGAUGUGAAAGCCCGGGGCUCAACCUCGGAAUUGCAUUUGAAACUGGCAAACUAGAGUACUGUAGAGGGGGGUAGAAUUUCAGGUGUAGCGGUGAAAUGCGUAGAGAUCUGAAGGAAUACCGGGUGGCGAAGGCGGCCCCCCUGGACAGAUACUGACACUCAGAUGCGAAAUCGUGGGGGAGCAAACAGGAUUUAGAUACCCUGGGUAGUCCCACCCCGUAAACGAUGUCUACUUNNGGUUGUGGCCUUGACCCGUGGGCUUUCGNAGCUUACCGCGUUAAGUAACCGCCCUGGGGAGUACGGUCGCAAGAAUUANAACUCAAUGAAUUGACUGGGGCCCGUCNCAACCGUUGNAGCAU